UACGUAGGGGGCAAGCGUUGUCCGGAAUCAUUGGGCGUAAAGAGCGUGUAGGCGGCUCGGUAAGUCCGCUCUGAAAGCCCGGGGGCUCAACCCCGGGAGGCGGGCGGAUACUGUCGGGCUAGAGUCCGGAAGAGGCGAGUGGAAUUCCUGGUGUAGCGGUGAAAUGCGCAGAUAUCAGGAGGAACACCAAUGGCGAAGGCAGCUCGCUGGGACGGUACUGACGCUGAGACGCGAAAGCGUGGGGGGCAAACAGG
rnacentral:rRNA from 1 species